rnacentral:rRNA from 1 species
AUUGAACGCUGGCGGCAGGCCUAACACAUGCAAGUCGAGCGAGCGGCGGACGGGUGAGUAAUGUAUGGGGAUCUGCCUGAUGGAGGGGGAUAACUACUGGAAACGGUAGCUAAUACCGCAUACCAUCAGCUGAACCCAUAUGGGAUUAGCUAGUAGGUGAGGUAACGGCUUACCUAGGCGACGAUCCCUAGCUGGUCUGAGAGGAUGAUAGGCCACACUGGGACUGAGAAACGGCCCAAACUCCUACGGGAGGCAGCAGUGGGGAAUAUUGCACAAUGGGCGCAAGCCUGAUGCAGCCAUGCCGCGUGUGUGAAGAAGGUCUUCGGGUUGUAAAGUACUUUCAGUCGGGAAGCGUUAACGACAGAGAAAGCAACGGCUAACUCCGUGCCAGCAGCCGCGGUAAUUC